GAGUUUGAUCAUGGCUCAGAACGUACGCUGGCGGCACGCCUAACACAUGCAAGUCGAACGAAGUAGCAAUACUUAGUGGCAGACGGGUGAGUAACAUGUAGGUAUCUGCCCUUUGGCCUGGAAUAACACGAGGAAACUUGUGCUAAUACCGGAUAAGUCUUUACGGAGAAAGCUUUAUGCACCAUUGGAUGAGCCUGCACUUGAUUAGUUUGUUGGUGGGGUAAUGGCCUACCAAGACUGUGAUCAAUAGCUGAUUUGAGAGGAUGAUCAGCCACAUUGGGACAGAGACACGGCCCAAACUCCUACGGGAGGCAGCAGUGGGGAAUCUUGCACAAUGGAGGAAACUCUGAUGUAGCGAUGCCGCGUGAGUGAAGAAGGCCUUUGGGUUGUAAAGCUCUUUCGUCGGGGAAGAAAAUGACUGUACCCGAAUAAGAAGGUCCGGCUAACUUCGUGCCAGCAGCCGCGGUAAUACGAAGGGACCUAGCGUAGUUCGGAAUUACUGGGCUUAAAGAGUUCGUAGGUGGUUGAAAAAGUUAGUGGUGAAAUCCCAGAGCUUAACUCUGGAACUGCCAUUAAAACUUUUCAGCUAGAGUAUGAUAGAGGAAAGCAGAAUUUCUAGUGUAGAGGUGAAAUUCGUAGAUAUUAGAAAGAAUACCAAUUGCGAAGGCAGCUUUCUGGAUCAUUACUGACACUGAGGAACGAAAGCAUGGGUAGCGAAGAGGAUUAGAUACCCUCGUAGUCCAUGCCGUAAACGAUGUGUGUUAGACGUUGGAAAUUUAUUUUCAGUGUCGCAGGGAAACCGAUAAACACACCGCCUGGGGAGUACGACCGCAAGGUUAAAACUCAAAUGAAUUGACGGGGACCCGCACAAGUAGUGGAGCAUGUGGUUUAAUUCGAAGAUACGCGCAGAACCUUACCAACACUUGACAUGUUCGUCGCGACUCUAAGAGAUUAGAGUUUUCGGUUCGGCCGGACGAAACACAGGUGCUGCAUGGCUGUCGUCAGCUCGUGUCGUGAGAUGUUGGGUUAAGUCCCGCAACGAGCGCAACCCUCACUUUUAGUUGCCAUCAUUAAGUUGGGCACUCUGAAAGAACUGCCAGUGAUAAGCUGGAGGAAGGUGGGGAUGACGUCAAGUCCUCAUGGCCCUUACGUGUUGGGCUACACACGUGCUACAAUGGUAUCUACAACAGGAAGCAAGACUGCGAAGUUAAGCAAAUCCCUAAAAGAUACCUCAGUUCGGAUUGCACUCUGCAACUCGAGUGCAUGAAGCUGGAAUUACUAGUAAUCGUGGAUCAGCGUGCCACGGUGAAUGCGUUCCCGGGUCUUGUACACACCGCCCGUCACACCAUGGGAGUUGGUUCUACCUUAAGGCAAGGUUUCAAACCCUUGACCACGGUAUAGUCAGCGACUGGGGUGAAGUCGUAACAAGGUAACC
rnacentral:rRNA from 1 species